rnacentral:lncRNA from 1 species
ACGCGUGCUGCUCUGGCUGAAUGGGCACUGAGACGAUGAAAGGAGGUUAUUUGGUUCCGACACGAUGUUCCAGAGACCGUGGGUAGCUGUGUGUAGGCCUCCGCUGUUUAGGCCCCCGCGGUGUGCGCCACCGUUGGCCGCCACGGUUGGGAAGCCCCAGGGAUGGCCGCGGAUAUGAUAGGCUGUGAUGGCAGCUGCGGGGUACACAAUUCAAAGGUUAGGAGGAGAUGUGGGAAAUGACAUAGCGACGUGACAUACAUAGCUACACGUAUGUGCCCGCACGUUGGUACGGCGUAUUGGUUGAUUAUCCGCCUUGUAAUCUUCUUCUUUUACAUUGCGGGACAUGAGAGAGUGAUGAGGGCGGCUGAAAGACCGGUCCUGGCAGCGUGGGCUAGAUCGGGUCACAAGCCUGCGUUCCUCCGCAAUCCCCUGACGCGGGUAGGCCGGUAUUUUGCAGGUCCAUGCGGAGACGCUGCUUCCCCGACUGGAUUGCCCUUACGUUGCUGAGGUUGUUGCUUGCCCUUUUGGUAUUUGUAGUCGUAGUCCAAUGUUCUUAUAAUGACUCCCAAGGCCUGCCUGGCCUCGGAAGGCAAUCCUUUGGCCGACGCAUGGAAGUGUGAUAUACCUUAUACAUUACUCAGUUUACAAUCCAGACAAGGUUCACAUCCUGCGCAAUUGCCUGCUGCGCACGUAAUACUGCAGGACGGGCUCAGGCAACAGGGAGAUUUCGUUUAGCAUUCCAUUCUGCUGUCGCUGUUGGUGAGCUAGCCAUGAUUGCCUUGCCAGCAUCGCCCAUCGUUGAUUAGAGUUAAUAGUGUACCGAAGAUAGUGUUCGCUCAAAUAGAAACACCCUGUUACCCUUGAAUUGACGACUACGUAUGAAGGAUUGCCAAUUAUUG